UCAAGAAAAGAAUCUUAGUCCAACCUAAAGUAUACCCGAAUCAUCCAAUUUCCUACACCUUUAGAGCAAUUCAAAUGAGGUACAGCCCAUUUGAUCCAGGAUACAACCUUCCAUAAUGGGUAAUAUUCAACUUCACCACCCCAAGUAGGCUUAAUGGCAGCCACCUUUUAAAAAGCGUCAAAGCUUAAUCCAACUUUACUAAUUUAAAAAAUUAUAUCAACCCCUUUAAUCAUAUUGAGAACUUCUAUAACUCUAUAGAACCUUUUAUGCUAAAACUAGUAACAAGGGGUAAACCCCCCUCCUAAAUGCAAGUGUAAGCCAACAAGAACCCACCAUUGGCAACUAACAGAUACAAAGUAGCAACUCCCACUAGAAAACCCUGCCCAACCCCCUGUUAACCUAACACAAGAUCAUUUCAAGAAAGAUUAAAAGAAAAAAAAGGAACUCGGCAAAUCCUAGCCCCGCCUGUUUACCAAAAACAUCGCCUCUUGCCCACAUAAGAGGUCCAGCCUGCCCAGUGACCCCGUUCAACGGCCGCGGUAUCCUAACCGUGCGAAGGUAGCGUAAUCACUUGUCUUCCAAAUAAAGACUAGUAUGAAAGGCACCACGAGGGCUAAACUGUCUCCUCUUUCUAAUCCGUGAACCUAAUCUCCCCGUGAAGAAGCGGGGAUUAUAUUAUAAGACGAGAAGACCCUAUGGAGCUUUAAACACCCUACACCUGCCACUACCUCAAAUACCCAGGUAUCCUCACUCAAUGGCAUCCUGUUCACAUGUUUUUGGUUGGGGCGACCAUGGAGAAAAACUCAUCCUCCAUAAUGAAGGGAUCUCCCACAAACAAUAAGUCACAACUUUACGUAUCAAUAAAUUGACACCCAUUGACCCAAUAAAUUGAUUAAUGAACCAAGUUACCCUAGGGAUAACAGCACAAUCCACUUUGAGAGUUCCUAUCGACAAGUGGGCUUAUGACCUCGAUGUUGGAUCGGGGUAUCCCAGUGGUGCAGCCGCUACUAAAGGUUCGUUUGUUCAACGAUUUAAACCCCAC
rnacentral:rRNA from 1 species